rnacentral:rRNA from 1 species
AGAGUUUGAUUUUGGCUCAGGAUGAACGCUAGCGACAGGCUUAACACAUGCAAGUCGAGGGGCAGCGGGGGCGAAGCUUGCUUCGCCUGCCGGCGACCGGCGCACGGGUGAGUAACACGUAUGCGACCUGCCCCCCGCAGGGGGAUAACCGGGAGAAAUCCCGACUAAUACCGCGUAACGCCGCUGGGCUGCAUGGCCCGGCGGCCAAAGGAAGCGAUUCCGGCGGGGGAUGGGCAUGCGGCGCAUUAGCUAGUCGGCGGGGUAACGGCCCACCGAGGCGACGAUGCGUAGGGGUUCUGAGAGGAAGGUCCCCCACACUGGUACUGAGACACGGACCAGACUCCUACGGGAGGCAGCAGUGAGGAAUAUUGGUCAAUGGGCGGGAGCCUGAACCAGCCAAGUCGCGUGAGGGAAGACGGUCCUACGGAUUGUAAACCUCUUUUGCCGGGGAGCAACGGGGUCCUUGCGAGGGCCCGAUGAGAGUACCCGGAGAAAAAGCAUCGGCUAACUCCGUGCCAGCAGCCGCGGUAAUACGGAGGAUGCGAGCGUUAUCCGGAUUUAUUGGGUUUAAAGGGUGCGUAGGCGGGCUGUUAAGUCAGCGGUCAAAUGUCGGGGCUCAACCCCGGCCUGCCGUUGAAACUGGCGGCCUCGAGUGGGCGAGAAGUAUGCGGAAUGCGUGGUGUAGCGGUGAAAUGCAUAGAUAUCACGCAGAACUCCGAUUGCGAAGGCAGCGUACCGGCGCCCGACUGACGCUGAGGCACGAAAGCGUGGGUAUCGAACAGGAUUAGAUACCCUGGUAGUCCACGCAGUAAACGAUGAAUGCUAGCUGUCCGGUUCUACGGGACUGGGUGGCACAGCGAAAGCGUUAAGCAUUCCACCUGGGGAGUACGCCGGCAACGGUGAAACUCAAAGGAAUUGACGGGGGCCCGCACAAGCGGAGGAACAUGUGGUUUAAUUCGAUGAUACGCGAGGAACCUUACCCGGGCUCAAACGCCAAAGGACAGCCGUUGAAAGGCGGCCUCCCUCCGGGGUCUUUGGCGAGGUGCUGCAUGGUUGUCGUCAGCUCGUGCCGUGAGGUGUCGGCUUAAGUGCCAUAACGAGCGCAACCCCCAUCGACAGUUGCUAACGGGUAGAGCCGAGGACUCUGUCGAGACUGCCGGCGCAAGCUGCGAGGAAGGCGGGGAUGACGUCAAAUCAGCACGGCCCUUACGUCCGGGGCGACACACGUGUUACAAUGGCCGGUACAGCGGGAUGCCAGGGCGCGAGCCCGAGCGGAACCCGAAAACCGGUCUCAGUUCGGAUUGGAGUCUGCAACCCGACUCCAUGAAGCUGGAUUCGCUAGUAAUCGCGCAUCAGCCACGGCGCGGUGAAAACGUUCCCGGGCCUUGUACACACCGCCCGUCAAG